AGUUUGAAGUUAAUAAUUUUAAAUGAAUCCUGCCCAGUGAAUAAAUUUUUAAAUGGCCGCAGUACCUUGACUGUGCUAAGGUAGCAUAAUCAAUUGGCUUUUAAUUAGAGUCUGGAAUGAAUGGAAUAAUGAAAUAAAGCUGUCUUAAAAUUAUUUUUAUAAACUUAUUUAUAAGGUGAAAAUACCUUAAAUUUUUAGAAAAAAGACGAGAAGACCCUUAGAGUUUUUAAUAUAUAAAUAAAUUUAAUGUUUAUUAUUUUUUUGUUGGGGCGACAAGUAAACACUUUAAACUUUACGUUUUUAUAUUACGAUUUUAUUAAAAUAAAAAAAACUACCUUAGGGAUAACAGCAUUAUUUAUUAAUAAGAUUGUGACCUCGAUGUUGGACUAGGAACUUUAUGGCUAGCCGUCAAAUAAGAUUUGUUCUGUUCGAACAAUAUUAUCCU
rnacentral:rRNA from 1 species